UACGUAGGGUGCGAGCGUUAAUCGGAAUUACUGGGCGUAAAGCGUGCGCAGGCGGUUCGCCAAGUCAGGUGUGAAAUCCCCGGGCUUAACCUGGGAAUUGCGCUUGAAACUAGCGGGCUUGAGUGUGGCAGAGGGGGGUGGGAAUUCCACGGUGUAGCAGUGAAAUGCGUAGAGAUGUGGAGGAACACCGAUGGCGAAGGCAGCCCCCUGGGUCAACACUGACGCUCAUGCACGAAAGCGUGGGGAGCAAACAGG
rnacentral:rRNA from 1 species